rnacentral:rRNA from 1 species
UCAAUAAGCGGAGGAAAAGAAACCAACAGGGAUUGCCCCAGUAACGGCGAGUGAAGCGGCAACAGCUCAAAUUUGAAAUCUGGCCCCUCCCACGGGGGGGCCCGAGUUGUAAUUUGCAGAGGAUGCUUCUGGCGAGGUGCCUUCCGAGUUCCCUGGAACGGGACGCCACAGAGGGUGAGAGCCCCGUCUGGUCGGACACCGAGCCUCUGUGAAGCUCCUUCGACGAGUCGAGUAGUUUGGGAAUGCUGCUCUAAAUGGGAGGUAUAUGUCUUCUAAAGCUAAAUACCGGCCAGAGACCGAUAGCGCACAAGUAGAGUGAUCGAAAGAUGAAAAGCACUUUGAAAAGAGGGUUAAACAGUACGUGAAAUUGUUGAAAGGGAAGCGCUCACGACCAGACCUGGUCCCGGCGAAUCACCCGGCGUUCUCGCCGGUGCACUUCGGCGGGCUUCCAGGCCAGCAUCAGUCCGCGCCGGGGGACAAAGGCGGCGGGAACGUGGCUCCCCAGGGAGUGUUAUAGCCCGCCGCGCAAUGCCCCGGGGGCGGACUGAGGACCGCGCGUCUACCGCAAGGAUGCUGGCGUAAUGGUCGUCAGCGACCCGUCUUGAAACACGGACCAAGGAGUCGUCCUCGUAUGCGAGUGUUGGGGCGUCAAACCCCCCGCGCGUAAUGAAAGUGAACGGCAGGUGAGAGCCCUCGCGGGCGCAUCAUCGACCGAUCCUGAUGUUCUCGGAUGGAUUUGAGUAGGAGCAUACGGGGCCGGACCCGAAAGAAGGUGAACUAUGCCUGUGUAGGGUGAAGCCAGAGGAAACUCUGGUGGAGGCUCGCAGCGGUUCUGACGUGCAAAUCGAUCGUCAAACAUGGGCAUGGGGGCGAAAGACUAAUCGA